rnacentral:rRNA from 1 species
AGUGAACGCUGGCGGCGUGCCUAAUACGUGCAAGUCGAACGGAAUUUAAAAGAGCUUGCCCUUUUAAAUUUAGUGGCGCACGGGUGAGUAAUAUAUAGCUAAUCUGCCCCUUGCUGGAGGACAACAGUUAGAAAUGACUGCUAAUACUCCAUACUCCUUUUUACCAUAAGAUAAAUCGGGAAAGAAUUUCGGCAAGGGAUGAGACUAUAUCGUAUCAGCUAGUCGGUGGGGUAACGGCCUACCGAGGCUAUGACGCGUAACUGGUCUGAGAGGAUGAUCAGUCACAUUGGAACUGAGACACGGUCCAAACUCCUACGGGAGGCAGCAGUAGGGAAUAUUGCGCAAUGGGGGAAACCCUGACGCAGCAACGCCGCGUGGAGGAUGACACUUUUCGGAGCGUAAACUCCUUUUGUUAGGGAAGAAUAAUGACGGACCUAACGAAUAAGCACCGCAUC